GAUCAUUAUGAAUUAAUAAUAUUUGUGAAUUUACCACAGCAAACAAAAAUCAUACAAUCAAAACAAAAAUAAUUAAAACUUUUAACAAUGGAUCUCUUGGUUCUCGUAUCGAUGAAGAACGCAGCGAAACGCGAUAUUUCUUGUGAAUUGCAGAAGUGAAUCAUCAGUUUUUGAACGCACAUUGCACUUUGGGGUAUCCCCCAAAGUAUACUUGUUUGAGCGUUGUUUCUCUCUUGGAAUUGCUUUGCUCUUCUAAAAUUUCGAAUCAAAUUCGUUUGAAAAACAACACUAUUCAACCUCAGAUC
rnacentral:misc_RNA from 1 species